CCUCUCUCGGGAUCACAUCUGGAGAGUUUUCAAUACUCUACCAGUCUCGGCUACGGGGAGAGAGAGUCAAGCAGAGGCCCACCCAUUCCAUUCCUAGCUUGGGCAGUGGCUAGCUAGUGGAAGGCAAUCUGCUACAAGU